GCAUAGGCAUGCAGUCGAGCGAGAAGCCUUCCUUCGGGGAGGUGGACAGCGGCGAAAGGGUGAGUAACGCGUAAUCAACCUGCCCCCGAGACCGGGAUAGCUUUUGGAAACGAAAGGUAAUACCGGAUGGUCCACUCUGAUUGCAUGUUUGGAGUGGUAAACGGUGGGGAUCUUCGGACCUUCUGCUCGGGGAGGGGAUUACGUCCUAUUAGCUAGUUGGUGGGGUAACGGCCUACCAAGGCUGUGAUGGGUAGCUGGUCUGAGAGGAUGGUCAGCCACACUGGGACUGAGACACUGCCCAGACUCCUACGGGAGGCUGCAGUCGAGAAUCUUCCGCAAUGGACGAAAGUCUGACGGAGCGACGCCGCGUGGAGGAUCGAAGGCCUUCGGGUUGUAAACUCCUUUCAAGCAGUGAGGAACAUCUGUACGAGAAUAUUGUGCAGACUGACUUUAGCUGCAGAAGAAGCUCCGGCUAACCCUGUGCCAGCAGCCGCGGCAAUACAGGGGGAGCAAACGUUGCUCGGAAUUACUGGGCAUAAAGGGCAUGUAGGCGGUCUUGCAAGUUGGAUGUGAAAGACCCUGGCUCAACCAGGGAAGUGCAUCCAAAACUGCAGGGCUAGGGGCCGAGAGGGGUGAGCGGAACUCCAGGUGGAGCGGUGAAAUGCGUAGAUAUCUGGAGGAACACCGGUGGCGAAAGCGGCUCACUGGUUCGGUUCUGACACUGAGGUGCGAAAGCCAGGGUAGCGAACGGGAUUAGAUACCCCGGUAGUCCUCGUCGAAAACGAUGCGCACUAGCUAGUGUGUGUUUUCAAUGGCAUCGCUGCCAAUGCUCAGC
rnacentral:rRNA from 1 species